UUUUCUUCAAUGUCUCUGUGAGAAAGCUCUAGUGUCUUUCAAUAACACAGAAGGUUUCAAAUACCUUUCUCACCACUGUGUCAUCUACCUCUGAAACUGCCACUCUCAGAUCUCACCUUGCUGAAAAUGAGAAACAUAUUCAACAUCUUCUAAGCCUCAUUCCGUCAUCCUCGAAUCCUGCUACUGCUGCUGCUGCUGAAGUAGGUACUCA
rnacentral:lncRNA from 1 species